GAGAUCUGUUUUAGACUUAAGGUGAUAUCCUUCCCUACACAUAUACCCGUGAUUUGUUUUAGACUUAAGGUGAUAUCCUACCCUACACAUAUACCCGUGAUUUGUUUCAGACUUAAGGUGAUCUCCUACCCUACACAUAUACCGGAGAUCUGUUUUAGACUGAAGGUGAUAUCCUACCCUACACAUAUACCUGAGAUUUGUUUUAGACUUAAGGUGUUAUCCUACCCUACACCAUAUACCUGUGAUUUGUUUUAGACUUAGGUGAUAUCCUUCUCUACACAUAUACCGGUGAUUUGUUUUAGACUUAGGUGAUAUCCUACCCUACACAUAUACCCGUGAUUUGUUUUAGACUUAAGGUGAUAUCCUACCCUACACAUGUACCUGAGAUCUGUUUUAGACUUAGGUGAUAUCCUUCCCUACACAUACACCUGAGAUCUGUUUUAGACUUAGGUGAUAUCCUUUUCUACACAUAUACCGGUGAUUUGUUUUAGACUUAGGUGAUAUCCUUCUCUACACACAUACCGGUGAUUUGUUUUAGACUGAAGGUGAUAUCCUAUCUACACAUAUACCCGUGAUUUGUUUUAGACUUAAGGUGAUAUACUAUCUACACAUAUACCGGUGAUUUGUUUUAAACUGAAGGUGAUAUCCUACCCUACACAUAUACACGUGAUUUGUUUUAGACUUAAGGUGAUAUACUAUCUACACAUAUACCGGUGAUUUAUUUCAGUUUUAAGGUGAUAUCCUACCCUACACAAAACCGGUGAUUUGGUUUAGACUUAAGGUGACCUCCUACCCUACACAUAUACCCC